UACGAAGGGGGCUAGCGUUGCUCGGAAUCACGUGGGCGUAAAGCGCACGUAGGCGGCUUUUUAAGUCAGGGGUGAAAUCCUGGAGCUCAACUCCAGAACUGCCUUUGAUACUGAGAAGCGUUGAGUCCGGGAGAGGUGAGUGGAACUGCGAGUGUAGAGGUGAAAUUCGUAGAUAUUCGGAGGAACACCAGAGCGAAGGCGCAAGC
rnacentral:rRNA from 1 species